UACAGAGGUCUCAACCGUUGUUCGGAUUCAUUGGGCGUAAAGGGCUCGUAGGCGGUCUGUCGCGUCGGGAGUGAAAACUCAGGGCUUAACCCUGAGCCUGCUUCCGAUACGGGCAGACUAGAGGUAUGCAGGGGAGAACGGAAUUCCUGGUGUAGCGGUGGAAUGCGCAGAUAUCAGGAGGAACACCGAUAGCGAAGGCAGCUCGCUGGGACGGUACUGACGCUGAGGCGCGAAAGCGUGGGGAGCGAACAGG
rnacentral:rRNA from 1 species